CUACGGGGGGCUGCAGUAAGGAAUAUUCCACAAUGGGCGAAAGCCUGAUGGAGCGACACCGCGUGGAGGACGACACCUUUCGGGGCGUAAACUCCUUUUCUGAGUGAAUAAGUUCUGAAAUUAACUCAGGAAUAAGUGACGGCUAACUACGUGCCAGCAGCCGCGGUAAUACGUAGGUCGCGAGCGUUAACCGGAAUUAUUGGGCGUAAAGGGUCCGUAGCCGGAAGAGAAAGUCUGAUGUUAAAACACGGUGCUCAACACCGUGAUCGUAUCGGAAACUUCUUUUCUAGAGUUAUUCAGAGGUGCGUGGAAUUUCUUGUGUAGGGGUAAAAUCCGUAGAUACAAGAAGGAACACCAAAAGCGAAGGCAGCGCACUGGGGAUAUACUGACGGUCAGGGACGAAAGCGUGGGGAGCAAAGAGGAUUAGAUACCCGCGUAGCC
rnacentral:rRNA from 1 species